AUGGGACAAAUACUUUUUUCAGUCCAACUGGACUCAGCUGCAUUAUCUGUGACCUGAAAAGGUAUUCUGGUUGGGAG
rnacentral:lncRNA from 1 species